rnacentral:rRNA from 1 species
UACGGAGGGUGCAAGCGUUAUCCGGAUUUACUGGGCUUAAAGGGUGUGUAGGCGGGCUGUUAAGUCAGUGGUGAAAUCUCCGGGCUCAACCCGGAAACUGCCAUUGAUACUAAUGGUCUUGAAUUUUGUUGAGGUAGGCGGAAUAAGUCAUGUAGCGGUGAAAUGCAUAGAUAUGACUUAGAACGCCAAUUGCGAAGGCAGCUUGCUAAACAAAUAUUGACGCUGAGGCACGAAAGCGUGGGGAUCAAACAGG